rnacentral:lncRNA from 1 species
UUGCUGCCAAACAAUAACAUGCCUGUUCAAAGAAACUUCAGCUCGUUUCUAAGCUAAAGAGAACGGUUAAAAAUGUCAGAAAAAGAUCAAAAAAGUAGAUAUAUAUUUAACAGGAAACAGUCUCAAUUGAGCUAUUAUGAAGAGGACUUUUAUUGCUUCUCUUGCCUUCCUAAUGAAGGAAAGUAUGACAAGUAUCAAACAUUUUACGCACUGCUUGGAGGAAUUGUGCUGAUCGCAAGCAUCUGCCUCCUUGGGAUCGAUUUGGUGUUUCACAAACCAGUUCAAGGUGAAGUCAUACCCGAGAUCAUCCCCGAGACACCAAGACGCCGGCACAACAACACUCCGGCAUCAGCGUUCUCGAGCUCACCCGUCCUCGCCCCAAUGGAGUUCUGGAUUUGAUAGUACAAACAGUUUGGUAAAGAGAAUAAUAUUGAUAAUACAAAAAAGUAUUUUAUUCUGUAUAGCUUUGUAACAGUUUCUCCACACAUAUAUUGGUCAUACAUUUGGUUUAAUAUUUAUAUUUAUUUAUUUUUGUAAAUUACAUUUCAGCUUUCAUACAAGUCAAUUUAAAACCCGUUUUUCUUUUAAACUUUUUAAUUUGUUAAAUUGUAAUUAUAUUUUGAAGGUAUAAGAAGGUAUAAUCAGAGGAUGAACAUGCGAUGCACUCCUAGGUGCAAUUAAAUUCAAAAAUUCAAAAUACCAAACAGCACAUUACUAUAUUCAAUAACCUAAAUCUAUGGAUGUUUCCGUCCUUAAUAAUAAUUGUAAUAACAAUAAUGAUAAUCAUAACGAUAAUACAAUUUUUUAAAUGCAUCAAAAUGUUAAAAUUGGCUUUGUUUGUUUAUAUGAAUAUAAAAUACAAUGUAAAAAACAUAUAUUUAAAAAAAUAUUAUGUAGUUAUCACAAAUUAAAAUAUCAAUUAAUCAACAAUUGAAUAAUAUUUUUAAAAACCUAAUGUUAUUUUAUAUAUGUUUUUAUUAACAUAAAAAAUCAAAUGAGUGAUAAAAAACAAAAAGAAUGUUUAAAUUAUAAGUGUAUGUCACUUAAGAAUAAAUUUAGCACCUUUUGCAAAUAAAAACAAGUAUAUUUUGAAAAGUGUUGUACACAACUUUUCUCGUCAAAUAAGAGAUAAGGGUUAAAAAUUAAAUUGACUCGCUGGAGCUAUAAGCGCUAUAGUUUAAACAAAAUCAUUCAUAAUUCCAUUGUACAAUUUUUAUAAUGAUUUCUGCAUUAACACCGUUUAAAAAUAAUUAUAAACUAUGUAAAAUGUUUAAAAUGUGAAAUAACGUGUGUGCAAGGAAGCUGUCGACGGAUUAACAUAAACAAAGCUAAUGGCGUUAAACUUUAGAAUACAUUGAGCAUUAAAUUUACUGGAAAAUGGAGAAAUCAGCUACUGUGCACUUUACAAUUUAUAUCUCUGCUAUAAAAACCUACGUUAUGGGAGAAAAAAAGGAAACAUAUUUACAUCAAAAUGUCACCAAUAUAUACAAAUUUAUACAAUUUGUCACAAAACGAAGACUUAGUGGAAGCAAUAUUAAAAAAUAUAAUAUAUUUUUUCUUCAUUUCUUUCAUUGUCCCUCAUUAUAACAUUGAACCAUAAACUCCCUUUGGGUCUGGUGUAUAUAUUAUCCAACCACCUGCUUGACCAUAACUUUAACUUUUCAUUUUACAGUAUUUUCAG